GUGCUUGCGUCGGCAUCACUUACAUUAAAAUUGGAAUGAUACAGAGAUUACCAUGGCCCUAGGUCAGAAUGACCUACAAAUUGGUGAAGCGUUACAUUUUUUU
ensembl:snRNA U6 U6 spliceosomal RNA